CAAAAGCUUGAUCAAUGGCAGGUACCCCAUUGGCUGCAUGUAGCGUUUUACUAAAUAACAAGACAUGUAAAGUAAAUCCAAAGCAUUUAUUCAGUUGCUCAUAAAUGGAUGGCGUACCUUGUCUUCGUGUGGCUUGUUGUCAGGCACAGCAGUUCAGGAUGUAUCUCCAGUCCAGGGGGAUGUUGGACCAGAGUUUUAGCUUGGUUAAACAACCAGACGGGACCGUUCUCCUUCCUAUUUCACCAUCCUGCGUCUCACAGCUGGAUCUGCAGUCUCUCAGAAACACUUUGACUCCAGUUGUUUGUGAUUUCACCUGGAGUCAGUCUCCACAGUCAAAAAAGGAGAAGGGGAGGAAAGCUGGAAAUAAACUGGAGAGAACCAUCCAGGAGUUGUUAGAGUAUCGGGGUGAAAGAUGGAUGGAGGAGAUGAGGAGCGAUCUUCCUCGGAGCUUCCAGAGACAUGGAGACCUCGUUCUGCUGGGCGACAGCUGCUUUACUUUGCCAAUAUGGGAUAAAAUAGGCGAUCAGUUAUGGAGUGCAGUCACCAAAGAGCUGAGGGUGAAGCGGCUUGCAAAGAUGAGUCGGAUAUCCAGGGAUGAUAGAUUCAGGUCUCCUGUGGUAACGAUGCUGCUGGGCGACAACAGCUGGGUCAAACAUGUGGACAAUGGCAUCAGUUAUGAGUUUGAUGUCACCAGAUGCAUGUUCUCAGCCGGGAACAUCACAGAGAAACUCCGUGUGGCCGAAUUUGACUGCAGUGGAGAGACUGUGGUCGACUUAUAUGCAGGUAUUGGAUACUUCACUCUGCCAUAUUUGGUCCAUGCGAAGGCCAGCCAUGUUCACGCCUGUGAGUGGAACCCUGACGCCGUUGCUGCUUUACAGAAAAACCUGGAAGUAAACGGGGUGUCAGAGCGCUGCACCAUCCAUCAAGGAGACAGCCGUCAAGUACAGCUGUGUAAUAUCGCCGACCGGGUGAACCUGGGUCUCAUCCCGAGCUCUGAGGAGGGCUGGCCCGUUGCAUGUCGGCUGCUGAAGAAGACGACCGGCGGCGUUUUGCACAUUCAUCAGAACGUCACCUCUCCUUUACCGAACGCUGCUGCUGGCGACACCGCUCCUCAAAAUGUUUCUGCAAAGAACGCUGACAGAGAGGUGUGGCGGGCCUGGGCCAGUGACACCGCAAACCGAAUAACUUCUCUGUUCAUGGACCUCACUGGUGCAUCGUGGGAAAUAAAUAUCCAGCACAUAGAGCAUGUGAAGUCUUAUGCGCCUCAUGUGCACCAUGUUGUGCUGGACUUGGGCUGCAGACCGUCCUGAAUUAGCAUCGAAAAACUGCUGCUUUUAUUCCCAGGAGUAAAUAACAGAAGGCUGCGGAGAACACUUUUAUUUAACCCCGUCAGACCUGGUUUAUUUUUGUCUGGGAUGGUGUUUUUGAAGUGCAAGCACAGAAACAAAAGGAUCAAAACAGAAAAUCCAAACAGCCAAGACCAGAUAUCUCUAGGCAAGGCAACUUUAUUUAUAUAGCACCUUUCAGCCAAAGACAAUUCAAAGUGCUUGUACAAAAAAGUUAAAAACAACAUACAACAGAUUAAAAAGUAUCUCUACAUUUUAUAGCAAUUAAAGCAAGUAUGAGAGUUUAUGAAAAAAUAUAUUAUAAAAUAAUUUUGAAAUCACAAAUUAGCCAUAAAAUACUUAGAUACUUUUUUCUCUGCAGGGUUAUGCUAAAUAAGCCUUUGAACAUCCGAACUCUUGACGUUUUCUCAAAAUAACUUCAAAUCCUAUCACUUGAAAUAGUUUUCUAGCCUACCAUGAACCAUAUAUAUAUUUGAUGUAAAACAGACACUUUUUCCCUUCUGUGUUUUCUUGAAGGAGAGUCAGUCCUCCAUGUAGACGAUUCCCUGCAUGUUUUUAUUAGUGUGGAUAUAAUGUGAAUCACAUGCUGAGACCCUCACAAUAAUCCUAUCUGAGCUCGGUUGAGCAGAUGAGGGAAGAUUUGCUCCCAGAAAAGGGAUUUUUCUUCUCAACGAUCUGCUAAAGCAAAACGUCAAAGUUGUUUUAAAGAAAAAAAAUGAGCUUUGUUGGUAGCAACAUGCUGAACAUAUCAACAUUAAUUAUUUCUGGUUACAAAAUAGUUUAUCCUGAUUAAUAUUGCUGCUAAACUAUGGCUCCUUUCCUCUCUUCAAAUUGAGGCUGACUUUCCUGGAAUACUUAUUUUGUUUUUAAUAUUUUUAUUUUAAAUGUUUAUUUAAAUUUCAUUUUUAAUAAAUGUGCCAACAGACACUGGUUAGAUUUGAAAAUUUUGUAGAUUUCUUGAAAUUG